GGAAGUAAAAGUCGUAACAAGGUUUCCGUAGGUGAACUUGCGGAAGGAUCAUUACAGAGUUCAUGCCCGAAAGGGUAGACCUCCCACCCUUGUGUAUUUAUACCAUGUUGCUUUGGCAGGCUGCUGCCCCCCUCGGGGGACAGCCCCAGCGCCUUCGGGCCUGGGAGUCGCCUGCCGGAGGAAAAACAAACUCUGAAUUGUUAGUGUCGUCUGAGCACUAUAUUUUAAUAGUUAAAACUUUCAGCAACGGAUCUCUUGGUUCUGGCAUCGAUGAAGAACGCAGCGAAAUGCGAUAAGUAUGUGAAUUGCAGAAUUCAGUGAAUCAUCGAAUCUUUGAACGCACAUUGCGCCCCUUGGUAUUCCGGGGGGCAUGCCUGUUCGAGCGUCAUUUCAACCCUCAAGCUCUGCUUGGUAUUGGGCCUUCGCCGGGCGACCGGCGGGCCUUAAAGUCAGUGGCGGCGCCGUUGGGUCCUGAACGUAGUAACAUACCUCUCGUUACAGGUCCCCGCGUGCUUCUGCCAUUAAACCCCAAACUUUUUAUGGUUGACCUCGGAUCAGGUAGGGAUACCCGCUGAACUUAAGCAUAUCAAUAAGCGGAGGA
rnacentral:rRNA from 2 species